rnacentral:tRNA from 1 species
ACCUGGGUGGCUCAGUCGGUUGAGUGUCUGACUUUGGCUCAGGUCAUGAUCUCAUGGUUUGUGGGUUCAAGUCCCGCACUGGGCU